UGGGGAAUAUUGCACAAUGGGCGCAAGCCUGAUGCAGCCAUGCCGCGUGUAUGAAGAAGGCCUUCGGGUUGUAAAGUACUUUCAGCGGGGAGGAAGGGAGUAAAGUUAAUACCUUUGCUCAUUGACGUUACCCGCAGAAGAAGCACCGGCUAACUCCGUGCCAGCAGCCGCGGUAAUACGGAGGGUGCAAGCGUUAAUCGGAAUUACUGGGCGUAAAGCGCACGCAGGCUGUUUGUUAAGUCAGAUGUGAAAUCCUCGGGCUCAACCUGGGAACGGCAUCGGUUACUGACAAGCUUGAGGCUCGUAGAGGGGGGUAGAAUUCCAGGUGUAGCGGUGAAAUGCGUAGAGAUCUGGAGGAAUACCGGUGGCGAAGGCGGCCCCCUGGACAAAGACUGACGCUCAGGUGCGAAAGCGUGGGGAGCAAACAGG
rnacentral:rRNA from 1 species